rnacentral:rRNA from 1 species
AUACGUAGGUGACAAGCGUUAUCCGGAAUUACUGGGCGUAAAGAGCUCGUAGGUGGUUUGUCGCGUCGUCUGUGAAAUUCCGGGGCUUAACUCCGGGCGUGCAGGCGAUACGGGCAUAACUUGAGUACUGUAGGGGAGACAGGAAUUCCUGGUGUAGCGGUGAAAUGCGCAGAUAUCAGGAGGAACACCGGUGGCGAAGGCGGGUCUCUGGGCAGUAACUGACGCUGAGGAGCGAAAGCAUGGGUAGCGAACAGGAUUAGAUACCCUGGUAGUCCAUGCCGUAAACGGUGGGCGCUAGGUGUAGGGGUCUUCCACGACUUCUGUGCCGUAGCUAACGCAUUAAGCGCCCCGCCUGGGGAGUACGGCCGCAAGGCUAAAACUCAAAGGAAUUGACGGGG